CUUCUCAGUAUCAAUUUUGGGCUCAGAUUUUUCUAUUGGGUUAGCUUCAGUACUAACCUCUUUUUCUAAAUUUUUAUUUUGACUAGCAUCAGUACUAGCCUCUCUCACCUGGUCUGAAUAUGGGUCCUUAAGAAUUCUAUUACUUCUAAGCUCAAAGAUUACUUUGUCAUUUUUAAAUUGAGGACUUUUAGGUUGGACAUUGAAUUGAUGACUAGAUCCAGGUGGUUGAUGAGUGGAUGGGUUUUUCCUAGGAUUUGGUACUGGUUGGCUUGGAAGUUGACCUGGUUCUCUCCUCAUGGUAGACGC
rnacentral:lncRNA from 1 species